rnacentral:lncRNA from 1 species
ACAGUAAUACACAAUAUUGGCAACAAUGCAACAAAACGGACACACUCUACUCUCCAGCGGGAGGCUGGGUGCGGUGGCUCACACCUAUCAUCCCAGCACUUUGGGAGGCUGAGGCGGGUAGAUCACCUGAGGUCGAGUUUGAGACCAGCCUGGCCAACAUGGUGAAACUCCAUCUCUACUAAAAAUACAAAAAUUAGCUGGGCUUGGUGGCGCAUGCCUUUAAUCCUAACUACUUGGGAAGCUCAGGUAGGAGAAUCACUUGAACCUGGGAGGCA